rnacentral:rRNA from 1 species
GAUGAACGCUAGCUACAGGCUUAACACAUGCAAGUCGAGGGGCAGCAUGGUCUUAGCUUGCUAAGGCCGAUGGCGACCGGCGCACGGGUGAGUAACACGUAUCCAACCUGCCGUCUACUCUUGGACAGCCUUCUGAAAGGAAGAUUAAUACAAGAUUGCAUCAUGAGUCCGCAUGUUCACAUGAUUAAAGGUAUUCCGGUAGACGAUGGGGAUGCGUUCCAUUAGAUAGUAGGCGGGGUAACGGCCCACCUAGUCUUCGAUGGAUAGGGGUUCUGAGAGGAAGGUCCCCCACAUUGGAACUGAGACACGGUCCAAACUCCUACGGGAGGCAGCAGUGAGGAAUAUUGGUCAAUGGGCGCAGGCCUGAACCAGCCAAGUAGCGUGAAGGAUGACUGCCCUAUGGGUUGUAAACUUCUUUUAUAAAGGAAUAAAGUCGGGUAUGUAUACCCGUUUGCAUGUACUUUAUGAAUAAGGAUCGGCUAACUCCGUG